CUCCAGACUCCUACGGGAGGCAGCAGUGGGGAAUAUUGCACAAUGGGGGAAACCCUGAUGCAGCGACGCCGCGUGAGUGAAGAAGUAUUUCGGUAUGUAAAGCUCUAUCAGCAGGGAAGAAGUUGACGGUACCUGAGUAAGAAGCCCCGGCUAACUACGUGCCAGCAGCCGCGGUAAUACGUAGGGGGCAAGCGUUAUCCGGAUUUAUUGGGUUUAAAGGGUGCGCAGGCGGGCUGUUAAGCCGGCGGUAAAAAUUCAGGGCUCAACCCUGUCGAGCCGUCGGAACUGGCAGCCUUGAGUGGGCGAGAAGUAUGCGGAAUGCGUGGUGUAGCGGUGAAAUGCAUAGAUAUCACGCAGAACGCCGAUUGCGAAGGCAGCAUACCGGCGCCCGACUGACGCUGAGGCACGAAAGCGUGGGGAUCGAACAGGAUUAGAUACCCUGGUACC
rnacentral:rRNA from 1 species